rnacentral:rRNA from 1 species
CGGACGGGUGAGUAAUGCCUAGGAAUCUGCCUGGUAGUGGGGGACAACGUUUCGAAAGGAACGCUAAUACCGCAUACGUCCUACGGGAGAAAGCAGGGGACCUUCGGGCCUUGCGCUAUCAGAUGAGCCUAGGUCGGAUUAGCUAGUUGGUGAGGUAAUGGCUCACCAAGGCGACGAUCCGUAACUGGUCUGAGAGGAUUAUCAGUCACACUGGAACUGAGACACGGUCCAG